rnacentral:misc_RNA from 1 species
GAGACAGAAAGCCAAAUACGUAUUCUCUUUCUUUGGGCUUUGGGGAUUGGAUGAGUAGCUGAAUUCGAGAAGACAAGGCCAUAUCGUGUGUCGAUAUUCUUCCUUUGCUUGCGUUAUAGCCUCCAAAACAUUAGGUUCUUAUCCAGUCACCACCUUUUAGAUACUCACAUCUCGAUUUUCGAAACUUUUGGGAUCAGGGGCAAAGCUACUAACUAGCCAUGUCUUCAUCUUUGCCAGUUCUUCCUACCCCUCUUGAAGACAAGUACCCUAAAUUACCUGAUUCUUUCCAGGUUACUUCAGAAAGGGAGAUGAUAAGAAACCCAUUACCUCAACAGGCG